UUUUAGACUCUUAUGUAUUCAAGUCUUCCUUACUUUACUUGGUUUUGACAUUACUUGCUUUUGUUUUGUUUCCUUUAGUAGAUUCUUUCUUAUUUGCAUUGUUGCUGACUCUGUUAGAGUUUGUUAUUCUAUCUCUGUAAUGUGGAUGACUUAUUUUGAUCUUCUAAAAUCACUUAAUUUGAAUUAAGUGAAUUCACUUAAUUUCACCAUUCCUCAAACUUGAUUGUCUUGGUCUUGAGUCUCCUACAUACAAUAUCAUCAAGAAUUUUGGAUAAAAAAUGUCUGCAGAGAGUUGACUCCUAAGAUAUAUAUAACCAGAGCACCCUACCAAGGACCUGCUUCAAUUUCACCCCGCUCAGAGACCAACAAACCUCAGAUGUUCCUAGUCUCUGCUAGGAAUAAGAAAGAAAACUGUGCUACUAGUAUCAGCUGCACAGUGGGAGCUACCUCUGUUCCCAGUGAUCUGCUCUGCAAACAAUCCCAGCAGCUUUCGCCAGAGAAGAAACCAGUCUCCCUGCAGAUUUCACUAGUCUUUGCCCCGCAGUUAUUUAUCUUUGCUGUUGCCUCCUGCAUCAGUCCCUCCUGCUAUCCCACUCCAAGACCAGGACCCUUAAUGGCAGCCAGCCCAGGCCUCGGGAGCUGUGCAUCUGCUAAAAAGCAGCAUCAUACAGUGGAUACAACUGAUAUAAUGGAAAUACAAAGGAUCAUGAGAAGGCUGAACAAUCACACGCCAACACAUUGGACAACCCAGAAGAAACCGAGAAACUCCUAGAAAAGACAACCUACACAGAUAGAAUCAGGAAGAAAUAAAAAAUCUGAACAGACCAAUAACAAGUGAGGACAUUGAAUCAGUAAUUAAAACCACUCACCAAAAAAAAGCUGAGAAACAGACGACUUCACUGGUGAAUUCAGUCAAACUUUUAAAGAAGGAAUGAAUGCCAAUUCUGCUCAAACUCUCCCAAAAACAGAAGAGGAAAGAAAACUAAUAAACUUAUUUUAUAAGACUGCAUUACUCAGAUGCCAAAGCCAGAUGAAGAUCCUAUUAAAAAAAUUAAAAAAAAAAAUAAAACCACAGGCCACCAUCCUUGAUGAAUAUA